UUGCUCUUCAACGAGGAAUGCCUAGUAAGCGCGUGUCAUCAGCAUGCGUUGAUUACGUCCCUGCCCUUUGUACACACCGCCCGUCGCUACUACCGAUUGAAUGGCUCAGUGAGGCCUUCGGACUGGCUCGAAGAGGUUGGCAACGACCACUUUGAGCCGGAAAGUUCGUCAAACUCGGUCAUUUAGAGGAAGUAAAAGUCGUAACAAGGUUUCCGUAGGUGAACCUGCGGAAGGAUCAUUAAAUGAAAAGCUGGUUUACCAGUAUACGGCCCCUGGGUUUGUUUCUGACAAGCGCCAGGAUCAGUCGUCAUUUAUACCCAUGUUUUUUGCGUACUACUUGUUUCCUUGGUAGGCUUGCCUACCAUUAGGACCACAUAAAACCUUUUGUAAUUGCAGUCAGCGUCAGAAAUAACUUAAUAGUUACAACUUUCAACAACGGAUCUCUUGGUUCUGGCAUCGAUGAAGAACGCAGCGAAAUGCGAUAAGUAGUGUGAAUUGCAGAAUUCAGUGAAUCAUCGAAUCUUUGAACGCACAUUGCGCCCCUUGGUAUUCCAUGGGGCAUGCCUGUUCGAGCGUCAUUUGUACUCUCAAGCUCUGCUUGGUGUUGGGUGUUUGUCCCGCGUUGCGUGUGGACUCGCCUUAAAGCAAUUGGCAGCCGGCAUAUUGGCCUUGGAACGCAGCACAUUUUGCGAUCCUAGUCAUACUUGUUGGCAUCCAUCAAGCCUAUACAUUAACGCUUGACCUCGGAUCAGGUAGGGAUACCCGCUGAACUUAAGCAUAUCAAUAAGCGGAGGA
rnacentral:rRNA from 1 species